CGUGGAUGUGACAUUCUACUGUUCCACAGACACUGAAGCGUCUGUCGCCAAACCAGCAACCAUUAAUAAUAAUGUAAUAAUGUGGGCCGGGCAGUGGCUCAUGCCUAUAAUCCCAGCACUUUGGGAGGCUGAGGCGGGUGGAUCACUUGAGGUCAGGAGUUCAAGACCAUCCUGGCCAACGUGUGGUGAAACCCUGUCUCUACUAAGAAAAUAUAAAAAAUUAGCUGGGCAUGGUGGCACACUCCUGUAAUCCCAGCUACUCAGGAGGCUGAGGCAGAAGAAUCACUUGAACUGG
rnacentral:lncRNA from 10 species